ensembl:lncRNA novel transcript
GAGGAUUAGAGUUUCAACAUAUCAAUGCUGGGGUUAAACACACAUUCCACCCAUAGCAUCCUGCAUCAAGUCCUCAUCUCAGUGUCAACUUUAAGUGCCUGGAAGAACCAGAAUCCUAGGAGCAUGGAAGACUUAAUUCAUUCAACAGUAACCACCUCUUUUUAGCCUAAGACUUUGGCAGCCGAACAACAGAACAGGAAUUAUGUCAGCUUUUCUGCUUAGCAUGAGCUCUGCCCCAGAACCAAUGACAUAAAAUACGUAUGUUUGCUUUCCCUGCCACAAAGUUGCGACACAUUAUCAAAGCUUUACAAAGUCACUCUAUCUUAGGACACCCCUAGACAACUUGUUUCCAUCUUACUUCUGGGACAAAAAUAUUUACUGUAUCCUGCUUUCAUUGUCUUUGUGAAUAUUACAUUAAAUGUUGACAUGUGCUUGGCAAUUCAAA